CCGAUUGAAUGGCUCAGUGAGGCGUUCGGACUGGCCCAGGGAGGUCGGCAACGACCACCCAGGGCCGGAAAGUUCGUCAAACUUGGUCAUUUAGAGGAAGUAAAAGUCGUAACAAGGUCUCCGUAGGUGAACCUGCGGAGGGAUCAUU
rnacentral:rRNA from 1 species